rnacentral:misc_RNA from 1 species
AACCGAGAUGACGUCGUGGCUCGUCACGGACGUCUUGACGGAACCCGAGACCCGAGGAGUCGUCGCGUAAAGAUGCCGGGGAACACCCUGCGGAUGGACGAUCGUCGUCGUGUGUGAUCGUUUAAAUCUCGUGAGUUCCCAAGGAGUGCCGGAGCCACUUGAGAGCCCAAUUGGCGAAUUGAAAAUUUCACCUGCUAACAUAAAAUGGAGUCAUCACUUGCGAUUCCCAUCGAGAAAAAUCUCUCGAGAUGUUACGAAGACGUCGAAUGCGAUUUCGGCGUCCGGUAUCCUUGAAGGAGAGAUGCACUUUGCGAAGAUGCACGGGUGAUAGAGGACAGGCUCCGAUAAAAUGUUGAUCAAGGAGUAUCGCAUACCGCUACCUCUUACGGUAGAGGAGUAUCGAAUCGCUCAGCUGUAUAUGAUAGCGAAAAAAUCGCGGGAGGAGAGCAAAGGUGCUGGCAGCGGCGUGGAGAUAAUCGAGAACGAGCCAUAUAAGAAUGGUCCAGGCGGUGAUGGCCAGUACACGCACAAGAUCUAUCACGUGGGCAGUCACCUACCGGGGUGGUUUAAGAGCUUGCUACCGAAGUCGGCGCUGAUCGCCAAGGAAGAGGCAUGGAACGCCUAUCCCUAUACUAAGACUCGCUACACGUGUCCGUUUGUAGAAAAGUUCUCCGUCGAGAUAGAGACCUACUAUUUCGCGGACAAUGGUCAUCAGGAGAAUGUUUUCAAUCUUAGCGGCAGUGAUUACAGAAACAGGAUUGUAGAUUUGAUCGACAUCGUCAAGGAUCAACCUUACGGAGCCGAUUAUGUGAAGGAAGAAGAUCCUAAGUUGUACUUGUCGGAAAAGACAGGAAGAGGCCCACUGGAGGACACAUGGCUGGUCGAUUAUUGGGCCGAUGUGGAAGGAAAGCAACAGCCAACGCCAUCGGGCAAGUCACUAAUGUGCGCGUACAAGCUAUGCCGAGUAGAGUUCCGUUAUUGGGGCAUGCAAACGAAAUUAGAAAAGUUCAUACACGACGUAGCUCUGCGGAAGACGAUGGUGCGGGCGCACAGACAAGCCUGGGCCUGGCAGGACGAGUGGAACGGUUUGACGAUGGAGGAUAUCAGGGAGAUUGAACGGCAGACGCAGCUGGCGUUGCAGCGCAAGAUGGGACUCGGCGAAUCGACGGAGCUCGAGGAGAACGAGAAUCGAGAGAGAACGACUGCGACGACGACGAUGACGACAACGACGACGACACCGGCUACUCCGGUGACGGCAAACGCCUCAAUGACGUCGCCGGAUUCAGAUGUUGCCAAGACAUUGGCGGCAACCCUGGGCAGCAUUGAAAAGGAGGAGGCGCAGAGUCCACUAUCCUUCAGGAAGCCAUCCGACAUUCCUAUCAUAAAUACGGCGGCCAGCUCCGAAAACGAAAUCAGUCCCGAAGACUCACCGGUUGACCUUAAUGAGAUCAAAACUGCGACUAGCGAUGCGAAGAGAGAGUGGAGAAAGAGUAACUUGCACUCGCCGAAUUCAAACAAGAACUUUGACAUUCAAAUCGCAAAUUGGAGGAUGGAAAGCAUCGUCAGAGAAUCCGAAUCCGGUAGCGAUGACGAGUUCUUCGAUUGUCAAGCUGGGUUCAUUAUACCUGUUAUACGCAAAGAGGACUUUGAAGAUAGCUCUUCAUUAGCUAAAUGGAGUUCUUUGGAUCUUCUAGCAGAAGGGGACGACACGACUAUGCGAACACCGCCUGCGGCAAACGAUCAAGAAGAUACAAUAUUUUCGCCUUCAUAUCUGCAACGUGUCGCCAGCGAGAGAAAUAAUAAGAGACUGCAGAUCCGCACCUCGGCCAGUAUUGAUGUGUCGUGUCCAACAUCCCCUCAGCAUUCUCCUACGCAUCAACCGUGCAAAAUUACCGUUCUAAUUAUUGUAGUGCACGGUGGUAGUGUUUUAGAUGCGAAUGUCGAUCUAACCGCGAAAAAGUCAGACAUAACAACAUUCCGCGGAGCUUUCGAAUCCGUAAUGAGGCAGCAUUAUCCCAGCAUGGUCGGACAUGUAUCCAUUAAAUUUGUUGCCUGUCCUUCCAUUUGUACCGAAGGUCUUGGAAUUUUAUCAAGUCUGAGUCCGUACAGCUUCGAUGUAUCGCCUUCAUGCAUGGAUGCGCCGCCAGUUACACAUGACACCAUUCCGAUCGGCGCAAUUCCGUUGCUGGCGAGCUCGAGUUCUGACUAUCAGGAUGCGGUAUCGCGUGUAGUGAUGGCUGCUAAUCAAGUGUAUCACGAUUUCAUCAAGAGCGAAGAGGGUAAAGGCUUCACCGGGCAGAUCUGCUUCGUGGGCGACUCAGUAGGCUCUAUCCUGACCUAUGACGCUCUGAGCAGAACAACGCAGCAUUCGAGACACAGUAGCGAGAACAGCAUCCUGGAAGGAGGUAGCGGCCAACAGAGCAAUGACAAUGGCGGUAAUGCCGAAGAUGCCAAGCAUCUAUCCGCGCCAUCUCCUAGAAGAAGGUCUUCCGGCGACAACCCACAUCAUAACAAACUGGACUUCGAGGUAGGUGAUUUUUUUACGUUUGGCAGUCCGCUUGCGCUGGUCCUCGCCUACAGGAAAACCGCCUCCACUGACAAAAAUAGCUUCAUACCCAGGCCGUUGGUCAAUCAAAUGUACAAUCUGUUUCAUCCCACGGAUCCCGUGGCUGCUAGAUUGGAACCUUUAAUCUCGGCGAGGUUCUCGCUGAUCCCGCCAGUCAAUAUUGCCCGAUAUCAAAAAUAUCCACUCGGCAACGGCCAACCUUAUCAUUUGCUGGAAACUAUCCAGACAAAUCCGCAAUUGUUCGCUGAUGGUCUCAACAUUCCGAAUAUUCAAAUGCAUUUAAGAAGACUAUCCGAUAUAUCGCUUCAAAGUACAAUGUCGGGCAUUAUCGAUAAUGUUCCCUUACAAGCCGUUUCUGCCCUGACACAAAAGUGGUGGGGCACCAAGAGACUAGACUACGCGCUCUAUUGUCCAGAAGGUCUCGCUAAUUUUCCUACAAAUGCCUUGCCGCAUCUCUUCCAUGCCAGUUAUUGGGAAUCUUUGGAUGUAAUCGCGUUUAUUCUGAGACAAUUGGGCAGAUUCGAUUUGUCGCUGCUCGGUAACGAAGAAAAGGAUCUUACUAGCUUCCGUCCAGGUCAACCCAGAGAGAAAUGGAAUAAAAAGCGUACCUCUGUUAAACUUAAGAAUGUUGCUGCCAAUCACAGAGCAAAUGAUGUCAUCGUAAGGGAAGGUGCACCACAAGUAUUAGUCGCUAGGUUCAUGUACAGUCCUAUUGAUAUGAUAACUCUAACAGGUGAAAAAGUGGAUAUUCAUAUUAUGAGAGACGCUCCGGCAGGUGAAUGGACGUACCUCUCCACCGAGGUAACUGACAAAAAUGGUAGGAUAAUUUACAAAAUACCAGAUGACAAAACGCUAAGUUACGGGCUUUAUCCAGUGAAGAUGGUUGUAAGGGGAGAUCACACGUCUGUAGAUUUUUUCAUUGCUGUGAUACCGCCGAAAACCGAAUGCGUGGUUUUCAGCAUAGACGGCUCUUUCGCCGCCAGCAGAUCAGUGAGCGGCAAAGAUCCGAAAGUCUGGGCCGGUGCUGUCGAUGUUGUGAGGCAUUGGCAAGAACUAGGUUAUCUCAUCAUUUAUAUUACUGCGAGACCUGACAUGCAACAGCAGACGGUAGUUUCCUGGCUGUCGCAGCAUAACUUUCCUCACGGUCUCGUCUCGUUCGCCGAUGGCCUGUCCAGAGAUCCGCUCGCCCACAAAGCCGCCUACUUGAAUAAGCUUGUGAAGGAGCAUGGAAUGAUAAUUCAUCAGGCGUAUGGCAGCGAGAAAGACAUUAGCGUGUAUACGGCGAUAAAUCUCAAACCGAGCCAGAUUUUCGUCAUCGGUAAAGCAUCCAAAAAGCAUCAGGCGCUGGCGACAAUACUAUAUGAUGGUUAUGCCGCCCAUUUGAGCACGCUACAAGCGCACGGGGGUUCACGUCCCGCUCAAGGCAACGCGCGUAUGGUAAUCCCCAGGGGUCAGUUUGGUUUGCCAGGACAGAAUGCUUCCUUGCGUCGGCGCAGGUGACGGUAUAACAAGAUGAAUGAUUGUGAACGUUAAUGAGAGAAAGCAGUAUCAAGGAUUACAUACCGAAAAUCUCUUUUAGGACGGCGAAGCGUGCGAUCUCGCAGCCACCCUUGGGCAAGACGCCCUUCCCGUUGGAACGAUCCACGAGCGUGGGUCCAGGAUCGAGCAACAUUCAUCGAUCGGCGGCGACUGAGAAACUUUGACGAUUCGCGCGCUGCCGCUCGUUCUUCGAGUCCCGGCGGUAGCUUCCCGCGAAGGAAGGACACGAUUCUCGGUUCCGUAUCCUCCUUUAUUCCGUUCCCUCAUUUCGUCGGGAUCUUUACUCCAAGUAAUAUAGAUCUUAUAUAGAUCUUUACGCCCUCUCGUUAAUCUCGUGAAGAUUGUGUGUGAUCUUCUGAUUAUAUAUAUUCUUCUUUUUACUCUUCUCUGUUCUUUAUAGAUCUUCGAUAACACAGGCGUUAUUGCUCCAUCUUUCGUGAUAUCUUCCUCCUAUCAUAAGUCCUUGAUCUAGAAUUUCGUAAAUUUAUGUAUAUAUUCUAUAUAUAACGAUAAGAAUAUUCUCUAUACGCUU